AUUUCAGAUUUUCAUAAAUAAAAAGAAAAUUUCUUCAAACAUUUUUUUGAGAGGAUUAAUAUUCAACAGCAUAGUGAAUUGCUCAAAGGCAAAAAAAAUAUUUUUAGUUCAUUAGACCACAUUCAUUCUGUGUCAGAAACCUAUGCUGUGUCAACUAUUUAAUCACAAUCCAAAUUUAGAGCUGAAUCCAGCUUAAAUGUUGUGUCCAUACUUACCCCAACUGUUCAGGGUUCAACCUCUGCGGUCGUAUAUAGCUGCGCUCUGCGGAGCAUCCGGUUAUACUUUUCAUGCAUUUUAGUUUGUUAAUUAAACUUUUUCAUAACAGUUGUUUAAAUGAUUGGGUGUAUCAUUAUAUUUAUUACCCCAAUACUUGGAUCAAGUACAAAAUUGGUCAGCAUCACUUCUACCAUUUUCAGUUGUCCCUUUAUAACUUUGGUAUGAUAUCAAAGCAGGGGCAUAAUAUCUGUCCCAUUGACAUAUUCCCCA
rnacentral:lncRNA from 1 species